GAGGAAACACUUUUAUUGCCUUAUUAUCUCUUAACUAUUUUCCGUAUUCGCCACGAGGUACAGACGCUAAACUGCAAACACAGGAAGAGGCCCCGUGAGACCCAGCCCAACACGCCCCAGCCAGCAAUCCUGCUCUCACUUUAUUCAUGGAAGGUCUUUUGUGGAAACAAUUUUCCAGUAAGGCCUCAUCAAAGAAGACUCAAGGAAUGAUGCAAACAUUAGCAGGUGCAAACUCCUUCAAGAACAUAAACACAACUUCUGGCAUAAUGUUCUGCAGGCACCAUAUGGUCAGAAGCUCUCCUAAGUGUCACAACACACUUAUGAGGAUCUUAAUUUACAAAUGAGGAAUUCACAACUGCCAAACCCAGUCACGGUCUUGCCUUUACUCCUCUCAAAGAUGAGGCAUCCUGGGGCAGAUGGACAUGACAGCACGGCUAUUCCAG
rnacentral:lncRNA from 1 species